AGUCCAGUAGCACCUUAGAGACCAACUACAUUUGUUCUGGGUAUAAGCUUUCGUGUGCAUGCACACUUCUUCAGAUAGCUUCAGAUAGCAGAACAAACUAAGCUGGUCUCUAAGGUGCUACUGGACU